rnacentral:rRNA from 1 species
AACGAGCGCUGGCGGCGUGCCUAACACAUGCAAGUCGUGCGGGAAAGUAGGGGCAACUCUACAAGUACAGCGGCGCACGGGUGAGUAACACGUAGGUAACCUGCCUCGGAGACUGGGAUAACCUGUCGAAAGACGGGCUAAUACCGGAUACGACCACGGGAGUUGAGGCUUUCGUGGUGAAAGGUGGCCUCUGCUUACAAGCUACCAAUCUGAGAUGGGCCGUGCGCGCCAUUAGCUAGUUGGUGAGGUAACGGCCC